GCGGGAAUAGCUCAAUUGGCUAGAGCGACAGCCUUCCAAGCUGUAGGUUGCGGGUUCGACCCCCGUUUCCCGCUCCA
rnacentral:tRNA from 1 species